AACGCGAAGAACCUUACCUGGGCUUGACAUGCUUGGAAUCUUUUAGAGAUAAGAGAGUGCCUCUUCGGAGGAACCAAGACACAGGUGCUGCAUGGCUGUCGUCAGCUCGUGCCGUGAGGUGUUGGGUUAAGUCCCGUAACGAGCGCAACCCUUAUCUUUAGUUGCCAUCAUUAAGUUGGGCACUCUAAAGAGACUGCCAUAGUAACAAUAUGGAGGAAGGUGGGGACGACGUCAAGUCAUCAUGGUCCUUAUGUCCAGGGCUACACACGUGCUACAAUGGUCGGUACAAUGUGCUGCUAGACCGCGAGGUUAAGCGAAUCACAAAAAGCCGAUCACAGUUCGGAUUAUAGUCUGCAACUCGACUAUAUGAAGCUGGAAUCGCUAGUAAUCGCGUGUCAGCAUAACGCGGUGAAUACGUUCCCGGGCCUGUACACACCG
rnacentral:rRNA from 1 species